rnacentral:tRNA from 1 species
AGUUUUAUAGUCAAUAUUUAUGAUCUUAAAUUGCAAAUUUAAAGUAGUGUUUUACUAAAACUU